CAGGCACGUAAACAGCUGUACCGGCGUGCGGUGUCUCCCUGAACGUUGGUGUCUAUGUAUGCGUGUCUUCUUUGUGGCAUCACACGUCAACUACACUGAACGGCUGCCACGAGCGAAGAGUCAUUGUUCAUCCGUUUCGUCCCGGCGUUGGCUUUACGCAAUGUCUGUCUCCUCCGUCUACUACACUGUCUCCCCCCUGUGCGUUUGCGCGUGAGUACAAAGGUCUCCAGCCAGGUCUCUGGAUCUUCAGCCCAUGAUCCGGCUGCUGCAGCAGGAUGGGGGACUUUGAGGCAACCAUUCGGGUUGUUGACUUGACCUUGAUUCCUGUGGUCUUUUCCGGAAGAGGAGCACACUUCGGUAGCAGUCCUUGCAGUCUACAGCUAUCUCAAGGAUCUUUGGUGACGAGGUUUCCACGGAGAACACAAUGCGGCAACUACCUCUAACACUCUGCCGAAGGAUAACAGCCUGGCACUAACGGAGAUUAAAAAAUGCAAGCAGCUAUGUUCCCGCCGGAAUGAACAAAUAGAAACAGGCUACACAAAAGGACGGGCCACCAAAUGCGCCACAACGCACUCACUGUUCUUUGUACUGUAUAUAGUGCAUUCGCUGACUGUAGUAAAAAUUGCAAUCCA